AAACCAUGAUGGGGGCACUGUCUUAAUAAACCUUUGAAUAUGUCCCAUGCUUCAAAUAAUGAUUCUUCAUAUGCCUGAACAAAGUUUAUGAUGUAAUUCCAAUGUAA